AUGUCUGAGCCAUCUCCUCUGCCUAUUAAAACAGGACAAAGGUAGGGAAAAAGAUAUAUAUCAGGGAAAAUAACUAACACAAGCAAUGGGAAUUAAUUUUAGAGCACCCUCCAUCUCAAGUACUUUGAAACUACAAAAAGAUAGUCAUACUCUGAAGAACAGGGUGCCAGGAUACCUCCACCAUUUAGGAUUUAAAGAAAUGCUAAUGAUGAUACAAUAACUAAUAUAACCAACAACUGGUAAAAUUGCUGGUCAAUAUUACCUUCUCGAAAACAAGCUUUGGAU
rnacentral:misc_RNA from 1 species